rnacentral:tRNA from 1 species
GGUCCUAUAGUUUAAUGAGAAUAGCGGGUUGCAAGCCUGUGGGUACUUUUGGUUGGGGCCU